rnacentral:tRNA from 9 species
GCCGCGGUAGCCUAGCCUGGUAGGGCGCCGGCCUGCUAAGCCGGUGGGCGUGGUCCCGCCGGGGUUCAAAUCCCCGCCGCGGCGCCA